CCGGGACACUAGUCACUGUGAAACAUUGCAAAGCUUCAUCAUGUCACAUGGUUACUCUGAAUUAUUUCAAGAUUCUUAUCUUGUACCAAUGUGCUCUUCAAUUUGGCCCUUCCCUGCGGAACAAAUUCUGAGUUUCUCUGCCUUUUUAGUUCUCUCGUUCCUUCACAAUCACCAUAACCUUCAGGUUUUUGGUCACCAUCAAUGGCUCACGACCAGAAGCGGUUCACAUACUUAUGUCAAAAAGGUGAUUCUUUUAUAUAUCUUCCAUCUAGCUAAGUCAUUGUUAGACCAUCCUCACUAUAUAAGUUGGAAUGAAUGACAGCUCAAAGAGGAUUUGGAACGUAGAGGCUGCCAAAUAAGAACAGGUUGCUCAGUUCAAUCAGUCUCAAAACUUGAU